CUAGCUUGGUGGCGCACUUGGACAAGUUCUUGGUGGGCGAACGUGUACUUCUAGUUUAACGAAUGAAAUGUCACAAAGCCCGCUACUUCAGCGGGCUUUUUGUU
rnacentral:sRNA from 1 species